rnacentral:lncRNA from 1 species
CCUGUCUGCUGAGGCAGCUCUUCAGAUGUCUGGGGAAUGGAGACUGAUGGUCCCAGCAGGGGAGAGACUGUGUUGACUUCGGAUGUCUCCAGAAACAGGGAUGUCAUGGUUUGGAUUGGAUGGAUGUCAUGCACAGUUCCAAAGGAACAGCGCCAGUGUCUCCAGGCUGAAAACUCUGAAAUGGUGACGAGAAGCCCAGGCUCUUCUCAGAUGGUUUGUCACAGAGCAGGGAAGCGGACACAGCACCAACGAUGACAGGGUGAAGCUUCCGGACUGUGAAAUGUCUCGAAGAAAACCCUUUGCACCUGCAGAGCAGACAGUGGUGUGGGUCACAGCAGUAUCCCCUCCCCAGGGGUUUAU